rnacentral:lncRNA from 1 species
GGAAGCACGCAAGGACGGCCCAACAUGGCGGAUGGUCGGCGGCACCUCGGGCUCCGCGUUCUCCGGCACCUCGGACGGCGCUGACGGCGUCACGUACUCCGCUGAGCAUGACGACGAGGCAGUGCAGCAACGACCGGAGCAUCGCAAGAGACGGAAAAAUUCACGCUGAAUCGGCGCCGAAAAAUAUGCAAGCGUCAUUGAAAGGCGGAACAUGACCCCACCUGGCUGACUGGCGUACGAGUUUGCACGAGCCGUUCGUAACCUACCCUGUAGAACCGGGCUUUUGUAGACUAGUGGUACUUUCAGAAGCUCGUUUCUACAGGUAUCUUGCGAAACUAGCUGACAGCUGCUAGACAUUCAGACAUGCCCGGCUUGAUCCAGGCACGACCAUUUGGUAAGAGCGGGCUCCUAAGACACCAGGUAAGGUUGCAACGCAUUCAAUAUGAAAACAUCAAGGUGAGUUGCCUGGACGACACGCGCCAUCUUCUCUCCGAUAUGCUU